rnacentral:rRNA from 1 species
UUGGAGAGUUUGAUUCUGGCUCAGGACGAACGCUGGCGGCGUGCUUAACACAUGCAAGUCGAACGGAAAGGCCCUUCGGGGUACUCGAGUGGCGAACGGGUGAGUAACACGUGGGUGAUCUGCCCUGCACUUUGGGAUAAGCCUGGGAAACUGGGUCUAAUACCGAAUAUUUCCUGCUGGUUGCAUGACUGGUGGGGGAAAGCUUUUGCGGUGUGGGAUGGGCCGCGGCCUAUCAGCUUGUUGGUGAGGUUAUGGCUUACCAAGGCGACGACGGGUAGCCGGCCUGAGAGGGUGACCGGCCACACUGGGACUGAGAUACGGCCCAGACUCCUACGGGAGGCAGCAGUGGGGAAUAUUGCACAAUGGGCGCAAGCCUGAUGCAGCGACGCCGCGUGAGGGAUGACGGCCUUCGGGUUGUAAACCUCUUUCAGUAGGGACGAAGCGAAAGUGACGGUACCUGCAGAAGAAGGACCGGCCAACUACGUGCCAGCAGCCGCGGUAAUACGUAGGGUCCGAGCGUUGUCCGGAAUUACUGGGCGUAAAGAGCUCGUAGGUGGUUUGUCGCGUUGUUCGUGAAAACUCACAGCUUAACUGUGGGCGUGCGGGCGAUACGGGCAGACUGGAGUACUGCAGGGGAGACUGGAAUUCCUGGUGUAGCGGUGGAAUGCGCAGAUAUCAGGAGGAACACCGGUGGCGAAGGCGGGUCUCUGGGCAGUAACUGACGCUGAGGAGCGAAAGCGUGGGGAGCGAACAGGAUUAGAUACCCUGGUAGUCCACGCCGUAAACGGUGGGUACUAGGUGUGGGUUUCCUUCCUUGGGAUCCGUGCCGUAGCUAACGCAUUAAGUACCCCGCCUGGGGAGUACGGCCGCAAGGCUAAAACUCAAAGAAAUUGACGGGGGCCCGCACAAGCGGCGGAGCAUGUGGAUUAAUUCGAUGCAACGCGAAGAACCUUACCUGGGUUUGACAUGCACAGGACGCCGGCAGAGAUGUCGGUUCCCUUGUGGCCUGUGUGCAGGUGGUGCAUGGCUGUCGUCAGCUCGUGUCGUGAGAUGUUGGGUUAAGUCCCGCAACGAGCGCAACCCUUGUCUCAUGUUGCCAGCACGUAAUGGUGGGGACUCGUGAGAGACUGCCGGGGUCAACUCGGAGGAAGGUGGGGAUGACGUCAAGUCAUCAUGCCCCUUAUGUCCAGGGCUUCACACAUGCUACAAUGGCCGGUACAAAGGGCUGCGAUGCCGUGAGGUGGAGCGAAUCCUUUCAAAGCCGGUCUCAGUUCGGAUCGGGGUCUGCAACUCGACCCCGUGAAGUCGGAGUCGCUAGUAAUCGCAGAUCAGCAACGCUGCGGUGAAUACGUUCCCGGGCCUUGUACACACCGCCCGUCACGUCAUGAAAGUCGGUAACACCCGAAGCCGGUGGCCUAACCCCUUGUGGGAGGGAGCCGUCGAAGGUGGGAUCGGCGAUUGGGACGAAGUCGUAACAAGGUAGCCGUACCGGAAGGUGCGGCUGGAUCACCUCCUUU